GGUUGAGAGUGGGGUGGUAACACACACACAUAAAGACAUACACCCUUCAGAUGCUUGUGCACGCACAAUCACACAGAGUACAUAUGACUGGAAGUGCAAAUACACACACUCUCUCUCUCACACACACACACACACCUCCUAGGCUCUGGAGCAUUAAUUAGGCAGCCUACAAGUCUGCCACACCAUGGUAUACCUCCAUCACACGCUGGAAAACAGGCAAAGACGACGAAAAGCACAAUUCAACACACACACGUUGCAGAAUUCGGAGGAACUGGGAGGUGCGGCUGGACUGCGACAACAGAGAGAUGAAGAAAAGAAGAGAUUCCAGUUGCUUUUUUGCCUCUGAACAUCAACUCCUCCUUGCCUUCAACCGGCUCAUCCAUUGCUUUCAUCACCUAUUCCCUCUGGCUCACUUCUCUCCAAGCAAGUUGUUACUAACACCACACUGGCAUCCAGAGGCCCUGGCGGAAUGGACCUCAAUCUCAAGGACCCUAAUUGAUGAAAUGAGAAGUGGGCCGGCUGCAGAAGGCUGUGGCAGCUGUCUGAGCGCAUGUUUUGCCCAUAUGGAGCAGAAAUGCUCAUGGUGCACUGAUUUCCGAUAGGUCUUCACCUCCUCUGCUGCUCAUGGCCUGCGGCUCCUUCCUCCUUCUCCUCCUCCUCCUCCUCUGAGCUCAAUCAAUUGACUGACGCCGCUGACCAGCUCCCACAGCACGCUGCCGGGGGAAGGAAGUUAUUGGAGUCGUGUGUGUGUAGGUGUGUGUGUCUGCAUUGGAUACCUCCAGUGGAGUUGUACAUGCAGUAAUGUUUGAAUAAUCUGCAAAUAAUCUGCAGAAAUCCAAAGCUUCAGACAGGAAAAUAACUGAUACUCUCCACAGACUUCUGUGGUAGGUUUGCUAUGUUAAAGAUGUGGGUUUAUGUUAAAAUGUGCAUUUCUAAAGAUUUUGCUUUCAUUUAUUUUGAAAAAUGUAAACAUCCUGCUCUUUUAUUAUAUAUUAAGUACAGGCAGGGUUUAUAGCACAGUGAUUUUGAAACUUUUUAGGAGCUUUUUCUCAUCACAGGGAUGCAAAUUUACUGUAAUCACUUUAUUCAUUCAUUCAACCUUUAUUUAACAUUCUUGUAGAAAUCACUGAGGGUGACCCUCAUUUACAAUGAUGCAAAGACAAAUUAACAAAAUCAACAAAUAAAAUCAGUUGAAAUAGUUACCAUGGGAAAUACAAUCAUACAAAAUUAUUUUAAACAGUUAUAAUGUCACUAGGAAAAACCCAGUAAAAUGAAGUCACUAGAAGGGAUCUAAAAAAAAGUAAAUCUACAGCUUCUUGCAAAGUUGCCGAAUAGCAAGCUGGCAUAUAGCAAACAAUUCCACAAAGCAUUGUGCAUAAAUAGCUUCCAGAAUUGAUGUUCAAAUAAUUUAAAGCAUAGUAAAAUUCCCAAUAUGAACAGAAAGUAGAAAGUAUCUAAAAUUUAUUAAAAUAAUUUGUGAUUUAAAAAGGUUUUUAUGCAUCUACAAAACACACUGAAUUCAAGGAAUGUUAUGUUAAAGUGAGAAAGUCCAACACAGUUCCAAAAUAUGAAAGGACAAACACAAAACAUGUAACAUAAAAUGAAAAAAAUAAAAUCAG